AACGUAGGACGCAAGCGUUAUCCGGAGUUACUGGGCGUAAAGCGCGGGCAGGCGGCUCGAUGCGUCCGAUGUGAAAGCGCCCCGCUUAACGGGGCGAGGCCAUUGGAAACGGUCGGGCUGGAGGGCAGUAGAGGCAGGCGGAAUUCCGGGUGGAGUGGUGAAAUGCGUAGAGAUCGGAAAGAACACCAACGGCGAAAGCACUCUGCUGGGCCGACACUGACACUGAGAGACGAAAGCUAGGGGAGCGAAUGGG
rnacentral:rRNA from 1 species